CAGAAGGAGGGAAGGUGAAGGGCUCCUCUUCAAGGAGCCUAUUGCAUCAGGAGAGACCUCCAUCACCUGUGCCCACUUGUGUGUCCAUGAAGAGCGAUCGGUCAAAGGAUUGUGACACCAACUUCCAACAUGGAGAUGACACAGAUGGAUCAAUGACUGGAGGGGCAAAAAGGUAAAUUAUCUCAGUUUACAGCAUGAUG